CUCGCGGCCUAUCAGGUAGUUGGUGAGGUAACGGCCCACCAAGCCUACGACGGGUAGCCGGCCUGAGAGGGUGACCGGCCACACUGGGACUGAGACACGGCCCAGACUCCUACGGGAGGCAGCAGUGGGGAAUAUUGCACAAUGGGCGCAAGCCUGAUGCAGCAACGCCGCGUGAGGGACGACGGCCUUCGGGUUGUAAACCUCUUUUAGUAGGGAAGAAGCGAAAGUGACGGUACCUGCAGAAAAAGCACCGGCUAACUACGUGCCAGCAGCCGCGGUAAUACGUAGGGUGCAAGCGUUGUCCGGAAUUAUUGGGCGUAAAGAGCUCGUAGGCGGUUUGUCGCGUCUGCUGUGAAAUCCCGAGGCUCAACCUCGGGCCUGCAGUGGGUACGGGCAGACUAGAGUGCGGUAGGGGAGAUUGGAAUUCCUGGUGUAGCGGUGGAAUGCGCAGAUAUCAGGAGGAACACCGAUGGCGAAGGCAGAUCUCUGGGCCGUAACUGACGCUGAGGAGCGAAAGCGUGGGGAGCGAACAGGAUUAGAUACCCUGGUAGUCCACGCCGUAAACGUUGGGAACUAGAUGUGGGGACCAUUCCACGGUCUCCGUGUCGCAGCUAACGCA
rnacentral:rRNA from 1 species